CUGAGGGGUGGCUAUUAA
rnacentral:misc_RNA from 1 species